rnacentral:misc_RNA from 1 species
AAAAGUAUCGUAACAAGUGACUAUUAAAAUUAAUCAUCAGCACAGAAUAUAAUUGAGGACCCUCAAAGGAAAUGAGGUCUGCAAUUUUCUUGAAUCUCCUGGCUUAAAAAAUGAUAUUUAAUAGUGCAAUUCACUUCUACCGCAAGAUGCUUCUUGAUAAUGUUGAGUAUCUUCACCUUCCCAUCAAUUACUGUGCUGGUGCUCACAGUUAAAGAACCUGAAAUUGCAUCCUUAACCCAGCUUGCAACUUCCAAAAUUUUCUCAGGAAUCAUAUUCACCGUAACGUUCAUGUGA